UCAUCGCCGCUUGAUCGUCGGACGUGCUAAGCCCGAUUUCGUAUUAAAUCGCCGGAGAAAGAUUAUAGUUUGGAAGCAACAACAAACAACAAAGAUUAGCCUAACCUAAUCGGAACUUUAAAGCGACACUGCCUUGGCAGAGGCAGCAGUAAACAGUCAACAGUAAACACAAAACAGUAAACAGUAAACAAACACGCAAACAGACAACAGUGAACAGUGAACAGUGAACAGUGAACAGACAACUGGCAGUGCAAGAAGAGAGGAGAGGAGAGCGAGACAUUUUCCGAUUUUCCCUGCAGUUGCACACACUGAGAAAAUGGCAGAAAGCCGAGCCGAGUGGCAUUCGUGCCGUGACUUUUCCGCUCGGCUCUUUUCGAUUUUCCGCUAAGGAUAAGUUGCUCGGUUGCACGCUAGAUUCUGUCAUAACGGCUUCGGCACUCGUGGCGUUCGUCUCGCUUUUCCGGCUAAAAUUCGCAGAUGCGAAUUGCUAACUUAUUUAGAACCCGCUUUCGAAAACGUUUUUCAAGUUCAACCAACCAUAUUUUUUUGCUGUGUUUCUAACGCGAGUUUACUCAAAAUAAUUAAAAA